AGUGAAUAAAAACACCAUGGAAAAAUUAAUUUGGUAAUACGAAGCAUGGGCUACAUUUCCUGAUUUCAUUUUGUGAUUUGAUGUUAGUCAGUAAACCUGUGAUUAUAUGCUACCCACAGUGAAGGUGAAUUCCAUAUAUCCAAUGAAGUUUUUCAGAAAACAUCUUAGCUUCUUACAGAAGAAGAAGCAUGAAAUGGCUUUUCACCUCCACCUGUAUGCUGUUUCUAAGCUCAUGAAGCUAGGAUUUGCCAUGGGGAACCUAGAGAGCAAGAGGAUUGCUCACUUAAGGGGAAACUAACUACCACGUUAUGCAGCUCUACUGUAAAAAUGCACAGGGUGAGAAACCAAGGCCUCCUUCUGACAGGAGCCACUUGCCGGUCAUGCUCUUCGAAAGACUGAAAAAAUUGACAGGACCAGAGAGAGUCCAUCUAGAAGAAUGUCAAACAAACCACUGAAGUAACGUGUUGACAAAAUAACAGCUCUAAUAAAUUGCAAUUUGACUAUAAA
rnacentral:lncRNA from 10 species